rnacentral:rRNA from 1 species
AGUGGGGAAUAUUGGACAAUGGGCGCAAGCCUGAUCCAGCCAUGCCGCGUGUGUGAAGAAGGCCUUAUGGUUGUAAAGCACUUUAAGCGAGGAGGAGGCUACUGAAGUUAAUACCUUCAGAUAGUGGACGUUACUCGCAGAAUAAGCACCGGCUAACUCUGUGCCAGCAGCCGCGGUAAUACAGAGGGUGCAAGCGUUAAUCGGAUUUACUGGGCGUAAAGCGCGCGUAGGCGGCUAAUUAAGUCAAAUGUGAAAUCCCCGAGCUUAACUUGGGAAUUGCAUUCGAUACUGGUUAGCUAGAGUGUGGGAGAGGAUGGUAGAAUUCCAGGUGUAGCGGUGAAAUGCGUAGAGAUCUGGAGGAAUACCGAUGGCGAAGGCAGCCAUCUGGCCUAACACUGACGCUGAGGUGCGAAAGCAUGGGGAGCAAACAGGAUUAGAUACCCUGGUAGUCCAUGCCGUAAACGAUGUCUACUAGCCGUUGGGGCCUUUGAGGCUUUAGUGGCGCAGCUAACGCGAUAAGUAGACCGCCUGGGGAGUACGGUCGCAAG